rnacentral:rRNA from 1 species
UACGUAGGGGGCUAGCGUUGUCCGGAAUCAUUGGGCGUAAAGCGCGUGUAGGCGGUCCGGUAAGUCCGCUGUGAAAGUCGGGGGCUCAACCCUCGGAUGCCGGUGGAUACUGUCGGGCUUGAGUACGGAAGAGGCGAGUGGAAUUCCUGGUGUAGCGGUGAAAUGCGCAGAUAUCAGGAAGAACACCCGUGGCUAAGGCGGCUCUCUAGUACGGUACAGACGCUGAGACGCGAAAGCGUGGGGAGCGAACAGG